rnacentral:rRNA from 1 species
GACGAACGCUGGCGGCGUGCUUAACACAUGCAAGUCGAACGGAAAGGCCUGCUUUCCCUUGUGGAUUGCGGGUACUCGAGUGGCGAACGGGUGAGUAACACGUGAGUGAUCUGCCCCCAACUUGGGUAUAAGCCUGGGAAACUGGGUCUAAUUCCCGAUAGGACUGCAGGGUGGUGCCUGUGGUGGAAAACGAUUUUCUAGUGGUUGGGGAUGAGCUCGCGGCCUAUCAGCUUGUUGGUGGGGUAAUGGCCUACCAAGGCGGCGACGGGUAGCCGGCCUGGGAGGGUGGACGGCCACAUUGGGACUGAGAUACGGCCCAGACUGCUACGGGAGGCAGCAGUGGGGAAUAUUGGACAAUGAGCGGGAGCCUGAUGCAGCGACGCCGCGUGGGGGAUGACGGCCUUCGGGUUGUAAACUCCUUUCGACCGCGAGGAAGCCACCUGGUUGGAAGGGUGGUGACGGUAGUGGUAGAAGAAGCACCGGCUAACUACGUG